CAGAAAUCCAAGGAGGUCAGGCCAAAGCUGGCGUCAAAGCUCAGUGACAGAGAGCACUGCAGGCACAGCUGGUCCCAAACUGACAUACAAUGAGAUGGUGACCCUCUCCAGUGAAGAGAAAACCAGAAAGACUGCAAAGGGACUGACUCAUUUACCAUUUUAUCCUCUGUGCCCAGUAGAAUGAACAGGACAUCCAUGGGCUACAGUCUGCAGAGAAGAAUAAUGAAUAGAGACCACAAUGCCAUCCGCCAAGACAUGGGUUCCCAUCUGGUCCCAGUGAGCAAGCCAGCCAGGUCACCAAUUUGGAGAGACCCUAAGACCUCUCCAGAUCUACCAGUUACUUCCAGGCCCCUUUUUAAAAGCCUAGCCUGCAGUGAUACCAGGAAGAAGGAAGAAGAGGAACCAUCAUGCCACCACAAGGGUGAAAACCACAGUUUAGAAAUGAUGGUGCAAAAUGAGACACUGAUUUCAUGAUGAUUUUGUAGAGACAUUAAAUAGGACUGAACUUCCCACCUAAGACUUCUUGUUAUAUAUAAGAAAUAAACUCC